rnacentral:rRNA from 1 species
UCCGUAGGCGGGCCAUUAAGUCAGGGGUGAAAGUCUGCGGCUCAACCGUAGAAUUGCCCUUGAUACUGGUGGUCUUGAGUUAUGGUGAAGUAACUAGAAUAUGUAGUGUAGCGGUGAAAUGCAUAGAUAUUACAUAGAAUACCGAUUGCGAAGGCAGGUUACUAACCAUAUACAGACGCUGAUGGACGAAAGCGUGGGGAGCGAACAGGAUUAGAUACCCUGGUAGUCC